UACAGAGGUCUCAAGCGUUGUUCGGAUUCAUUGGGCGUAAAGGGUGCGUAGGUGGCGCCGUAAGUCGGGUGUGAAAUUUCGGAGCUUAACUCCGAAACUGCAUUCGAUACUGCGGUGCUUGAGGACUGGAGAGGAGACUGGAAUUCAUGGUGUAGCAGUGAAAUGCGUAGAUAUCAAGUGGAACACCAGUGGCGAAGGCGAGUCUCUGGACAUUUCCUGACGCUGAGGCACGAAAGCCAGGGGAGCAAACGGG
rnacentral:rRNA from 1 species